rnacentral:rRNA from 1 species
GAUGAACGCUGGCGGCGUGCCUAAUACAUGCAAGUCGAGCGAACAGAUAAGGAGCUUGCUCCUUUGACGUUAGCGGCGGACGGGUGAGUAACACGUGGGUAACCUACCUAUAAGACUGGGAUAACUUCGGGAAACCGGAGCUAAUACCGGAUAAUAUUUCGAACCGCAUGGUUCGAUAGUGAAAGAUGGUUUUGCUAUCACUUAUAGAUGGACCCGCGCCGUAUUAGCUAGUUGGUAAGGUAACGGCUUACCAAGGCGACGAUACGUAGCCGACCUGAGAGGGUGAUCGGCCACACUGGAACUGAGACACGGUCCAGACUCCUACGGGAGGCAGCAGUAGGGAAUCUUCCGCAAUGGGCGAAAGCCUGACGGAGCAACGCCGCGUGAGUGAUGAAGGUCUUCGGAUCGUAAAACUCUGUUAUUAGGGAAGAACAUACGUGUAAGUAACCGUGCACGUCUUGACGGUACCUAAUCAGAAAGCCACGGCUAACUACGUG